ACGGAAGGCAGCAGUGGGGAAUUUUGCGCAAUGGGGGGAACCCUGACGCAGCAACGCCGCGUGCGGGAUGGAGGCCUUCGGGCUGUAAACCGCUUUCAGCAGGGAAGACUUUGACGGUACCUGCAGAAGAAGCUCCGGCUAACUACGUGCCAGCAGCCGCGGUAAUACGUAGGGGGCGAGCGUUAUCCGGAUUCAUUGGGCGUAAAGCGCGCGUAGGCGGCUGCCUAAGCGGAGUUUCUAAUCUUGGGGCUCAACCUCAAGCCGGACUCCGAACUGGGCGGCUCGAGUGCGGUAGGGGCAGGCGGAAUUCCACGUGUAGCGGUGAAAUGCGCAGAUAUUAGGAGGAACAUCAGUGGCGAAGGCGGCUUACUGGGCUUUAACUGACGCUGAGGCUCGAAAGCGUGGGGAGCAAACAGGAUUAGAUACCCUGGUA
rnacentral:rRNA from 1 species